rnacentral:rRNA from 1 species
UACAGAGGGUGCAAGCGUUAAUCGGAAUUACUGGGCGUAAAGCGUGCGUAGACGGUUAUGUAAGUCAGAUGUGAAAGCCCCGGGCUUAACCUGGGAAUGGCAUUUGAGACUGCAUAGCUAGGGUGCGGAAGAGGGAAGCGGAAUUCCGGUGUAGCGGUGUAAAUGCGUAGAUAUCGGAAGGAACACCAGUGGCGAAGGCGGUCUGCUGGGCCGUUGCUGACGCUGAGGCGCGACAGCGUGGGGAGCGAACAGG